rnacentral:rRNA from 1 species
UACGUAGGGGGCAAGCGUUGUUCGGAAUUACUGGGCGUAAAGGGCGCGUAGGCGGCACGGCAAGUCAGGAGUGAAAGGCCUGGGCUCAACCGAGGAACUGCUUUUGAGACUGCCGAGCUAGAGUGCAGAAGGGGCAACUGGAAUUCCCAGUGUAGCGGUGAAAUGCGUAGAUAUUGGGAGGAACACCUGAGGCGAAGGCGGGUUGCUGGGCUGACACUGACGCUGAGGCGCGAAAGCCAGGGGAGCAAACGGG